UCCAAGAGCCAAGUUCAGAAAUCAGGAAUUCCAAGGGCCUGAUUGGUGCUCUACCCACCUGUGGCUGAGCUGGUACCUAAGGUGCAGGACAAAGUUCCCUUUACUUUUCCCUCUGUUUUUCUCUAGCAGGAGUCUAGCCCUGUGGCACCACAUCUGGGAAUGUGCUGAGUCUCAUGUGAAGCCAAGAAGUCUCAGAGCCUCAUCCAAGGCCCUAGGGUAGUACCUGUGUAUCACUGCUGGUUAUUCAAGGCCCAAGGGCUCUUCAGAUAGCAGAAACCCUGAAGCAUGCCAUGAAGUUAAACUCAAUCUCUGAUUGUAUGAAGGUGAUCUUCCCUUGCAUAACUGCUUGCAAGAAGUAAAGACAAAAUCUCUCCAGAAGAAGAUAACAUCAGCCAGAGCCUAAAAUUAUCAGUAUCCAAGAUAAUUAUCUGUAAAAUUUUUCAUACACGAUGUCCAGCAUGCAAUCAAACAUAACCAGGAAUAUCAAGAAAUAAGACCACAUGACCAAAAAACAAAGGGACAUAGAGGGAGAAACAGGGACAGCAAGAGACUGAACCACAGGAAAUUCAGACAUUGGGCUUAUCUGAAACAGAAUGCGAUGUGGUUUGGAUCUGUGUCCCCACCAAAUCUCAUCUUGAAUUGUAAUCCCCAGUGGUGGAAGUGGGGCCUGGUAAGAGGUAAUUUGAUCAUGGGGGUGAAUUUCUCAUGAAUAGUUUAGCACCAUUGCUCUUGGUACUGUCCUCACAAUAGUGAGUGAGUUCUUGUGAGAUCGUGUUGUUUAAAAGUGUGUGGCACUUCCCCCCUCACUCUCUCUUGCUCCUGCUCUGGCCAUGUGAUGUGCCAGCUCCCCCUUUGCCUUCCACCAUGAUUGUUUCCUGAGGCCUCCCCAGAAGUGGGGCAGAUGCCAGGACCAUGCUUCCUGUACAGCCUGAAUAACCAUGAGCCAAUUAAACCUCUUUUCUUUAUAAAUUACCUAGUCUUAGGUAUUUCUUUAUAGCAAUGUGAAAAUGAACUAAAACAGACUGUAACAUAAGUUUCAUAAGUGUGAUUAAUAUAUUCAGAAAUUGGAUGACAGGAUAGAGAAUAUAGCAGAGAACAAAACACUAUAAAAUGGAUUAAAUGGAAGUUUUAUAUCUCCCCUUAAAAAUUCAAGAAUGUGUUCAGUAGCAUAUUAGAUAUAGUUGAAGAAAGAAUUAGCAGAAUGGAAAAUAG
rnacentral:lncRNA from 1 species